GAUCAUGGCUCAGGAUGAACGCUAGCUACAGGCUUAACACAUGCAAGUCGAGGGGCAGCAUGGUCUUAGCUUGCUAAGGCCGAUGGCGACCGGCGCACUUGUGAGUAACACGUAUCCAACCUGCUGUCUACUCUUGGACAGCCUUCUGAAAGGAAGAUUAAUAUAAGAUGGCAUCAUGAGUCCGCAUGUUCACAUGAUUAAAGGUAUUCCGGUAGACGAG
rnacentral:rRNA from 1 species